CAUGCAUAGAGUGCCUCUGUACCCAACCUCCUGCACUGCCCCAUCAUGUAGAUUUUUAAAGAGCCCCUAGUGGCUCAGAGGAUUAGAAGGCUGGAUGGCAUCACCGACUCGAUGGACAUGAGCUUGGGUGAUGGACAGGGAGGCCUGGCGUGCUGUGAUUCAUGGGGUCACAAAGAGUCGGACACGACUGAACGACCGAACUGAACUGAACUGAACUGAGUGGCUCAGAAGCUCUCUUCCAGAAAUGGGAAAAGCCCUCAUAACGAGCCGUUGACUGGAUGUUUAUGGCUGGGAAAGGCUAUUACCCUGUAAUUUGGCUCCUGAAGACCACAUUCUUCCUUGGAACAGAAGCCACAGGUCAAUUAUCGCGGUUGCCACGAGCAUUUUUGCUGAGGAGCAGGGAGAAAGCGCGAAGCAGCCAUCUGCCACUCCUUGAGGUGAAUGAGGAAGAGAAUUUGGCCCCAGACGGCUGAGGUGCAUGUGGAAGGAAUGAAUUCAGUCAGCCCGGAG
ensembl:lncRNA